rnacentral:tRNA from 5 species
GCGGGUGUAGUUCAAUGGUAGAACAUCAGCUUCCCAAGCUGAAUACGAGGGUUCGAUUCCCUUCACCCGCUCCA